rnacentral:rRNA from 1 species
GGAAGGUGCAAGCGUUAAUCGGAAUUACUGGGCGUAAAGCGCGCGUAGGCGGUUAGAUAAGUCGGGUGUGAAAGCCCCGGGCUCAACCUGGGAACUGCACUCGAUACUGUUUGACUAGAGUGUGAUAGAGGGAGGCGGAAUUCCGCAUGUAGCGGUGAAAUGCGUAGAGAUGCGGAGGAACACCAAUGGCGAAGGCAGCCUCCUGGAUUAACACUGACGCUGAGGUGCGAAAGCGUGGGGGGAGCAAACAGGAUUAGAUACCCUGGUAGUCCACGCUGUAAACCGAUGUCAACUAGCCGCUGGGAGCAAUUUGGCUCUUGGUGGCGUAGCUAACGCGAUAAGUUGACCGCCUGGGGAGUACGGUCGCAAGAUUA